GAAAGAAGUCAUAUGGGUUUGGAACAACAUGGCGGUGAAAGGGUGUGAAAGAUCUUGUGGAAAUCAUUGUCCACAUUGUGUGAAGUGGGAUAAAACAAGUUCUUCUCUGCAUUCAGCAUCAAUCCAGCAAGGAGUCGUUCAGCACCACGGACAGCAAAUCUCAUGUCAUGCAGUGUGCUAACACAGCAACCUCCUCCACCCCACCAUCACCUGUUGAGUCCCGUCCUGAACGGGGGUAGGCUCCUCGCCCCUGCCUCCUAUCUCUGGCAGGAUAUGACGGUUCCGAGUACAACUUCUUUGGACCGCCAGAUGGGGCUCACACCAAAG